CGUGUAGGCGGCGGAUUUAGUUAGGCGUGAAAGCCCCGGGCUCAACCUGGGAACUGCGCUUAAUACUGAUUUGCUAGAGUCCGGGAGAGGCGAGUGGAAUAUCCAGUGUAGAGGUGAAAUUCGUAGAUAUUGGAUGGAACACCAGUGGCGAAGGCGGCUCGCUGGACCGGAACUGACGCUGAGGCGCGAAAGCGUGGGGAGCAAACA
rnacentral:rRNA from 1 species